rnacentral:rRNA from 1 species
ACAGAGGUCCCGAGCGUUGUUCGGAUUCACUGGGCGUAAAGGGUGCGUAGGUGGUACGGUAAGUUUGAUGUGAAAGCUCCGAGCUCAACUCGGAAAAUGCAUUAAAUACUAUCGAACUAGAGGAUUGGAGGGGGGACUGGAAUUCUCGGUGUAGCAGUGAAAUGCGUAGAUAUCGAGAGGAACACCAGUGGCGAAGGCGAGUCCCUGGACAACUCCUGACACUGAGGCACGAAAGCUAGGGGAGCAAACAGG